UAGGGAAUAUUGCACAAUGGGGAACCCUGAUGCAGCGACGCCGCGUGAAGGAAGAAGUAUCUCGGUAUGUAAACUUCUAUCAGCAGGGAAGACAAUGACGGUACCUGACUAAGAAGCCCCGGCUAACUACGUGCCAGCAGCCGCGGUAAUACGUAGGGGCAAGCGGUUAUCCGGAUUUACUGGGUGUAAAGGGAGCGUAGACGGAUCUGCAAGUCUGGAGUGAAAGCCCGGGGCUCAACCCGGACGUGCUUUGGAAACUGUGGAUCUAGAGUGCCGGAGAGGUAAGCGGAAUUCCUAGUGUAGCGGUG
rnacentral:rRNA from 1 species